rnacentral:lncRNA from 1 species
GGCUGCAUUUACUUUCUUAGAGUAAUUAGAUAUCUUCAGAUUUGAUAUUUUUAUAAAAACCUUCCUAUUUUCCCUCUAAUUAUUCAUUUGUUCUUAAAACUUCUUAAUAAAAUUUUAUGGUUUUUAUACAUUUGUUUAAUUCUUGUCAAUAAAAAUUUAUAUUUAAAAAAAAAAAAAAAAAAAAAAAAAAAAAAAAACUGUCCAUAUUCUUUGCAUGUACCUAGGAUGAUAUAAAAGCACACUGGAAAAAAAAUUAAACCCACCUCAGCACUUGCUGGAAACAUGUUAUAAUAUUGUCUGAUUGUCUCUUUUUCUUUAAUCCUCCCUCCCUCCCUUGAGACCCUGUUGACUGACUGAGCAGGCUUGGUCAACUUAGACUAUUGUUAUUUUAUUUGCCUUUGACAACUACUGGGGAGUGGUAACCCUAAUCUACUCUUCUCACAGCUGGCCUGACUACCAGCCCAGUGGUGUUCCUCAGAUACUUGCUGUUUCUCUUGUCCAUGUACUCAUGGUCCAGCUCUCCUCAUGGCCACUUCCCCUCUCUUCUUUGUCCUUCUCCAACUAAGUCACUCCAAAGCCACCUACCUCUCUUCACAAAAUAUUCUUAUCUGUUAAGCACUAGCAUUCUAAGAAAGUGUCAGAAGUAAAAGGGAAAGCAGUGGAAACUGGAAUUUGGUGUAAUGUGCCAUUUACUGUCAGACACAAUUUCAUCUUCUCAAACAACCAGGAAGCAUGUUACAGGCCUGCGAUGAUAUAUAGGAAGGGCAUGAAUAGAAAAAGAUCAAAACCUUCUUGUGCAUUUCAGGAACUGUAUUUUAAAUGUGUACGCAGUAAAGUUUUAUAUGUUAAUAACUGAGUAUCAGAUUACUAAAACAUUUGAAGAUCAUUGUUUUCAAUAAUAUUUUUUUCUGAUUUUUAAAAGGGUACUCCUAUACAUGCUGAUCACAUUUACGAUCCCUUUGCUUCUCCCAGUCCCUCUCACUCACCUCCUCUCCUCCACAUCCUUCUGUCUUUCCUUUCUCAUCAGAAAAGUGGGGGACUUCCAUCCAUAUCAAACAGCCUUGGCAUAUCAAGUUGCAGUAGGAGUAGGUAUGUUUUUCUUUUACUGUGGUUAGGCAAGGCAGCCACAGAUAUCCAAAAGCAGGCAAAAGAGUCAGAUACAGCCCUUGCUCUUGAUGUUAGAAGUCACAGAUGAAGACCAACUUUCACAUCUGCUUCAUAUGUAUAGGGGUCAUAGGUCUUUCUCAUACAUGUUCUUUGGUUGGUGGAUCAGAUUUUGUGAGCACCUAUGGACCCAGUUUAGUUGUUUUAGUAUGUUUCCUUGUGGUGACCUUGACCUUUCUGUCUCCUUCCAUCUUUCCACCCCAUCUUCAAUAGGAUUCUCCGAGCUAGACAUAAUGUUUGUCUGUGGGUCUCUGCAUGAGUUUCCGUCAUCUUCUGGAUGAAGCUUCUCUGAUGAUGGUUAUGCUUGGUACCUAUCUGCAAGUAUAACAGAAUAUCAUUAAUAGUGUUAAUGGUGGGCUCUUUCUCAUAGCAUGGUCCUCAAGCUGGACAAGAUAUUGGUUGGCUAUUUUCUCAAUUUCUGCUCCAUCAUUAUCCCUGCACGUCUUGUUUGCAGGACAAAUUAUGAGUCUAAGGUUUGGCUUCAUGCCCCAGUUCCUAUAUUGGAAGUGUUUUCUGGUUACAUGUGAUGGCUGAUUCAGGUUCCAUGUCAAAAAUUGCUAAGAAUCUUAGCAAAAGGUGUUCUCAUAAAUUCAUGUGAGUUUCCAUUGUCUUAAGUCUCUAGCUUGUACCAAAAAUACCAACCCUGACAGGUUCUGAGACUUUUCCAAAUACUCUUUUUCUCUCUGCUACUUCCCCAGACUUUAUCACUCUAACUCCCCUCUUCACUUACUCUUCCACCUAGUUCUAUGCUCUUUGUACUCUUCUGAGGGAUAUCAAAUAAACACCAUUGAGCCUUUCUUCUUACUUAACUUUUUUGGCUCUAAAGAUUGUAGCAUCACAACACCAGAGGCGAGGUUAGCAUUCCAAACCCUAGAGGCCAUGAAUGCCAUAAAACUCCUAUGGAGUACCCUACUAGACUUGAAGAGUAGCUCGUCACCAGAACCCAGCCUCUCAAGGCAGUAGACAGAAAAUAGAAACCAAGGGAAAAUCUCCCCUCCCCCCAAAUCCACACAUACAAAAAGAUAAAUCAGCAUCUAAAUCUAUAAUAACUGCAAAACUCAGUUGCAAGCAUAAAAAUGUAAGAACCAGGGCAAUAUGGCACCACUAAAACCCAUUCAUCCUAGUGCAGCAAGACUUAGAUAUUCUAAAACAGCUGAAGUACAAGAAAAAUGACUUAAAAUUCUAUCAUACAAAGAAGAAGCUAGGGGCCUUUAAAGAGGAAAUAAAUCCAUUAAAGAAAUAUAGGAGAAUACAAUCAAACUGAUGAAGGAAAUGAAUAAAACUAUUUAAGACCAGAAAAUG